AGAGUUUGAUCCUGGCUCAGGAUGAACGCUAGCUACAGGCUUAACACAUGCAAGUCGAGGGGAAACGACAUCGAAAGCUUGCUUUUGAUGGGCGUCGACCGGCGCACGGGUGAGUAACGCGUAUCCAACCUGCCCACCACUUGGGGAUAACCUUGCGAAAGUAAGACUAAUACCCAAUGAUAUCUCUAGAAGACAUCUGAAAGAGAUUAAAGAUUUAUCGGUGAUGGAUGGGGAUGCGUCUGAUUAGCUUGUUGGCGGGGUAACGGCCCACCAAGGCGACGAUCAGUAGGGGUUCUGAGAGGAAGGUCCCCCACAUUGGAACUGAGACACGGUCCAAACUCCUACGGGAGGCAGCAGUGAGGAAUAUUGGUCAAUGGACGAGAGUCUGAACCAGCCAAGUAGCGUGCAGGAUGACGGCCCUAUGGGUUGUAAACUGCUUUUAUAAGGGAAUAAAGUGAGCCUCGUGAGGCUUUUUGCAUGUACCUUAUGAAUAAGGACCGGCUAAUUCCGUGCCAGCAGCCGCGGUAAUACGGAAGGUCCGGGCGUUAUCCGGAUUUAUUGGGUUUAAAGGGAGCGUAGGCCGGAGAUUAAGCGUGUUGUGAAAUGUAGACGCUCAACGUCUGCACUGCAGCGCGAACUGGUUUCCUUGAGUACGCACAAAGUGGGCGGAAUUCGUGGUGUAGCGGUGAAAUGCUUAGAUAUCACGAAGAACUCCGAUUGCGAAGGCAGCUCACUGGAGCGCAACUGACGCUGAAGCUCGAAAGUGCGGGUAUCGAACAGGAUUAGAUACCCUGGUAGUCNGCACGGUAAACGAUGGAUGCCCGCUGUUGGUCUGAAUAGGUCAGCGGCCAAGCGAAAGCAUUAAGCAUCCCACCUGGGGAGUACGCCGGCAACGGUGAAA
rnacentral:rRNA from 1 species